UACGAGGGGAGCUAGCGUUAUUCGGAAUUACUGGGCGUAAAGCGCACGUAGGCGGCUUUGUAAGUAAGAGGUGAAAGCCUGGAGCUCAACUCCAGAACUGCCUUUUAGACUGCAUCGCUUGAAUCCAGGAGAGGUGAGUGGAAUUCCGAGUGUAGAGGUGAAAUUCGUAGAUAUUCGGAAGAACACCAGUGGCGAAGGCGGCUCACUGGACUGGUAUUGACGCUGAGGUGCGAAAGC
rnacentral:rRNA from 1 species